AUAGUGUGUUUUCAAUUAAAAGAUUACAUAAUCAUUUAGUAAAACUAUCAGACAUUAAAGUUAGAAAACGAAGGAAUGUACUUGGUUACAAAGUCUUACAACACUCUACCCGCUUAUAUUCAGCUUGCWCUUAAUAUGUCAAAAGUAAUGUUAGGUAAUUACUAUUUAGUGUAAAUAUUUUAAUAAGAGAUAAAUCUUAUGAACCAGUUAAUAUAUUAUAUUAUUAUAUUAGUCAAUCAAAAGGUGCUACUAAUUAUACUUUUAUAGCAGCUGCGGAAAUAUUGAAAAAGAUUCGUAAAAUCUGUUAUUGCACCAACAUCUAAGAAUUUGCAUGAUUUAAAUGAUUUUUAUAAUUAGAAAAUAAUAAAUAUUUCAUUAUGAAAUUUCAAAACUGGAAGAUUCUAUCAAGGACUACURAUGGUUGAUGGCACAAUUGUCAUUAUAUUAUUUUGCAAUAUUAAAUAUAUUCAGCACGUCAUAAAUGAAGAACAAAAAUAUAAGAAUACUCAGUGUUGUGAUGAUACUUUUAAGAUGGUUUCAAAAAAGAUUGAUGAGGAUUGUCAUCAAUUUUUUACAUUUCAUGUAAUAUAUUAUAAUGUUGUAAGUACUAACUAGUAAUAUCACCAUCAAGUCUUGUAUACUGAAAAUCUGAAAAUAGGUUAUUUAGUUGACUAAUUUAAUAUUUCCUUAAUGUUGAGAGAGUUUCCCAACUGUUUAUACAUUAUUAACUGGUAAAACCGAAAUUAUUUACAAGGAGCUAUUUCAAUACGAUUGUCAUGUCAUUGUCAACCCUACAAUAUGAUAAAUCAGCAAUUAAAACUGAUUAUAAGAUUAGCUGGAUUAAUAGUAUUGCAUUAAAUUCCUGAAAGUACCCACCAAGGUUGCAAUUUUCAUUAUUGCCAAGUACAUUUUUUCUUACACUAUGCAAGAUCUACACUAAAUUUGAAUACAAAAUUAUCAUGCAUAAGUGUAUUCUGUGUGGUAAGACAUCUAAAGUAUCACCACACCCAAUAUUUCAUUUGCAAGUAUUUUUUUUAUAGUUACAAUGAUAAUAUUUUUUUAUAAUAUGUAAAAUGUAUUAUUAAUAAAUUAUGUAGAUUUUCAAAAAAAAUUAAAAUAGAAGGAAGGAAUGGCUAAAAAGCAUCAAAUUAGAUGAUUAUCCAAUUUCCAACUGGCCCAGAAUUUGUAGUAAUCAUUUCAUAAUUAGUGAUUAUAGAUAUGGCUCAGCAAAUAAGCAAAUAUUAUGGCCAGAAACUGUCCAAACAUUUAACCUCAACAACUUAUUAGGGACAGAAAACAGCACUGGUAAAACUCUGAGCACAACUAAUGUAUCUUCUAAGAGGGCAUUUUUUAUUGUUUUUAAGGUCAUCAACUUCUGAGCCCUAGUUAUCAACAAUACGUCAACGCCGAACACCAGUACAUCACCCAAUAUCAUGUUCCAAAACAGCCGAUUACAGGCUUGAUAAGGCCUGCCUAUAAUACACGAUUACUACUAAAGAUAGUAUUAAUCGUGCUAUAAUAAAUAAUAUUAUACUUAAUAAGUAGCUAAUAUUAUUGUACAUACUAUAUUAAUAUUAUGUACUGCAGUCUGCAAUGUAACUUUGAUAUCAAGUUACAGGAAAAUGAGUAACUAGUUACAAGUUACAAGUUACAAAAUAACCGGGUUACGUAAAACUUUGAUACAUGUAACUGAUUACUGCCCAUCCAUGCCUAUGAUGCGCUAGAAGAAAAUGAAAAGACAAAUAAUAGAUUUGGGGACCUUACAGUUGAUUAAUUAAUUCACCUAAAAAAGCCUUAAAAUACUAUAAUUUUGUUCAAAAAAACAAUUGACAAUUUAUGGUAUAAAUAUAAAUUGAUUUGUCAAAAAAAUGAUUGACUAUAGGAAAAAAGGUCAACACUUAUAGACUUGUUGAAAGAUUUAAAUGAAAGGACCAUGUUAUAUGAGUAGGCAAUUGAUAAUCUGGAGGUAUGAAAAUUAAGUACAUUACAAUCAGUUUAAAAAAAAAAAAUUAAAUAAUAAAAUGUUAUCAUAAUACACCUAAUAACUUUUUAUAUUUUCAUAUAGUAGCGAUUUACAAAAAUCACACGAGGCUUUAAACUCUGUCUUGUGCUUCUUCUUGAGUCGGUUUCUCCAACUUCUUCAACAAGGAUUCAUAUUAUUAUCACCUUAUACAUCUACAACGUCAAUAAUAUUAGGUUGAUUCUUUGUGUAACAACAUUUUUGUUUUGUUUAUUAUUUCAUUUAGCGUACAUGUCUUAAUCAAUUAAAAUUUUUAAAUAGUGUAAGACCGUGUCUCUCUUUCUAUUUUGUCGUGUCAAUUAUUAAACUAUUAUUGUUAUAA